rnacentral:rRNA from 1 species
ACAUGCCUACAACAUAGCGUUAAUGCACCAGAUCCCAUUAGAACUUUGUAGUUAAGCGCACUUAGGCUAGAGUAGUACUAGAAUUGGUGACCGCUUGGAAAGUCCUAGUGUUUUACAUGCC